rnacentral:rRNA from 1 species
GGGUUGUGAGGUUAAGCGACUAAGCGUACACGGUGGAUGCCCUGGCAGUCAGAGGCGAUGAAGGGCGUGCUAAUCUGCGAUAAGCGCCGGUAAGGUGAUAUGAACCGUUAUAACCGGCGAUACCCGAAUGGGGAAACCCAGUGUGACUCGUCACACUAUCAUUAACUGAAUCCAUAGGUUAAUGAGGCGAACCGGGGGAACUGAAACAUCUAAGUACCCCGAGGAAAAGAAAUCAACCGAGAUUCCCCCAGUAGCGGCGAGCGAACGGGGAGGAGCCCAGAGCCUGAAUCAGCAUGUGUGUUAGUGGAAGCGUCUGGAAAGGCGCGCGAUACAGGGUGACAGCCCCGUACACAAAAGCGCAUGUGCUGUGAGCUCGAUGAGUAGGGCGGGACACGUGGUAUCCUGUCUGAAUAUGGGGGGACCAUCCUCCAAGGCUAAAUACUCCUGACUGACCGAUAGUGAACCAGUACCGUGAGGGAAAGGCGAAAAGAACCCCGGCGAGGGGAGUGAAAAAGAACCUGAAACCGUGUACGUACAAGCAGUGGGAGCCCCACCACCAAAGCAUUUGCUGUACCGCGUUGACGGAGCGAA